GACAGAGGGUGCAAACGUUGCUCGGAAUCACUGGGCGUAAAGGGCGUGUAGGCGGGACGGUAAGUCGGGCGUGAAAUCCCUAGGCUCAACCUAGGAACUGCACUCGAAACUACCAUUCUUGAGUGUCGGAGAGGAAAGCGGAAUUCCUGGUGUAGAGGUGAAAUUCGUAGAUAUCAGGAGGAACACCAGUGGCGAAGGCGGCUUUCUGGACGAUAUUGACGCUGAGGAGCGAAAGCGUGGGGAGCGAACAGG
rnacentral:rRNA from 1 species